GUUCAAUUUUCGUAUCGUUUAUAUGCCUUACGGAAAACCGACCUUUUCCGGAAUCGACUUUUGUUUUAUCACCGGAAAUGAAUUUGAAAUUUGAAUUUCGAAACGAAGACAGGAUAUCAACAAAGAGAGCCAAGAAAAUUGUUUGUUACGCGAUAUAUACUCACUUGGAGCUAAAAGAAAAGCCACAAAGGACAAGUUCAAUAUGCAGGUUUACAAUUUGGAAGUGGCACAGGUUCUUUGGAAUGUCUACAACCUUUCAGGAGAAUUUUUUUUUGAAAAGCAUGGCACAGCAAGAAAAAGAUAUAAGACACUACAAGAC